GACAGAGGGGGCAAGCGUUGCUCGGAAUUACUGGGCGUAAAGGGCGCGUAGGCGGGAUGGCAAGUCGGUCGUGAAAUCCCUCGGCUCAACCGAGGAACGUCGAUCGAUACUGCUGUUCUUGAGGAUUGCAGAGGAGACUGGAAUUCCCGGUGUAGCGGUGAAAUGUGUAGAGAUGUGGAGGAAUACCGAUGGCGAAGGCAGCCCCCUGGGAUGAUACUGACGCUCAUGCACGAAAGCGUGGGGAGCAAACAGG
rnacentral:rRNA from 1 species